rnacentral:misc_RNA from 1 species
UCCGACUUAUCAUCGGCAGUUUCCAUAGAGUGCCCAACUGAAUGCUGGCAACUAGGGACGAGGGUUGCGCUCGUUGAGGGACUUAACCCAACAUCUCACGACACGAGCUGACGACAGCCAUGCAGCACCUGUAAACCGGCCACAAGUGGCCGACACAUCUCUGCGCCGUUCCGGUUCAUGUCAAGCCUUGGUAAGGUUCUUCGCGUUGCAUCGAAUUAAACCACAUACUCCACCGCUUGUGCGGGCCCCCGUCAAUUCCUUUGAGUUUCAGUCUUGCGACCGUACUCCCCAGGCGGCGAACUUAACGCGUUAGCUUCGAUACUGCGUGCCAAAUUGCACCCAACAUCCAGUUCGCAUCGUUUAGGGCGUGGACUAC